GACGAGCCUUGCUAACGUUAUUCGGAAUUACUGGGCUUAAAGGGUGCGUAGGCUGUGCAGAAAGUUGGGUGUGAAAUCCCCCGGCUCAACCGGGGAAUUGCGCUCAAAACUACUGUGCUAGAGGAAUACAGAGGUAAGCGGAACUUCGGGUGGAGCGGUGAAAUGCGUUGAUAUCCGAAGGAACACCGGUGGCGAAAGCGGGCUUACUGGGUAUUCUCUGACGCUGAUGCACGAAAGCUAGGGUAGCGAACGGG
rnacentral:rRNA from 1 species